rnacentral:rRNA from 1 species
AGAGUUUGAUCCUGGCUCAGAACGAACGCUGGUGGCGUGCUUAACACAUGCAAGUCGAACGAGAAAGUUUCCUUCGGGAAAUUAGUAAAGUGGCGCAAGGGUGAGUAUCACGUGAAUAAUCUGCCCUCGAGAUCGGGAUAACAUGGUGAAAACUAUGCUAAUACCGGAUAAGACCACAUUUCAUAAGAAAUGCGGUAAAAGGAGUCUCAAUCUUCACUCGAGGAUGAGUUCGCGCAACAUUAGCUUGUUGGUGAGAUAAAAGCUCACCAAGGCUACGAUGUUUAGCCGGCCUGAGAGGGUGAACGGCCACACUGGAACUGAGACACGGUCCAGACUCCUACGGGAGGCAGCAGUGGGGAAUAUUGCGCAAUGGGCGAAAGCCUGACGCAGCAACGCCGUGUGAGCGAUGAAGGCCUUAGGGUCGUAAAGCUCUGUCAAAUGGGAAGAAUUUUGACGGUACCAUUAGAGGAAGCCCCGGCUAACUCCGUGCCAGCAGCCGCGGUAAUACGGAGGGGGCAAGCGUUGUUCGGAAUUAUUGGGCGUAAAGAGCUCGUAGGCGGUUCAGUAAGUCGGGUGUGAAAACUUGAGGCUCAACCUCAAGAGGCCACUCGAUACUGCUGUGACUGGAGUCCGGUAGAGGAGUGUGGAAUUCCUGGUGUAGCGGUGAAAUGCGCAGAUAUCAGGAGGAACACCGACAGCGAAGGCAGCACUCUGGGCCGGUACUGACGCUGAGGAGCGAAAGCAUGGGGAGCGAACAGGAUUAGAUACCCUGGUAGUCCAUGCCGUAAACGUUGGGCACUAGGUGUGGGGUCUAGCUAACAGAUUCCGUGCCGUAGCUAACGCAUUAAGUGCCCCGCCUGGGGAGUACGGCCGCAAGGCUAAAACUCAAAGGAAUUGACGGGGGCCCGCACAAGCGGCGGAGCAUGUUGCUUAAUUCGAGGCAACGCGAAGAACCUUACCUGGGUUUGACAUGUAGGGAAAAGCCAUAGAGAUAUGGUGUCCUUAGGGGCCCUACACAGGUGGUGCAUGGCUGUCGUCAGCUCGUGUCGUGAGAUGUUGGGUUAAGUCCCGCAACGAGCGCAACCCUUGUCCUAUGUUGCCAGCGGAUAAUGCCGGGGACUCGUAGGAGACUGCCGGGGUCAACUCGGAGGAAGGUGGGGACGACGUCAAGUCAUCAUGCCCCUUAUAUCCAGGGCUGCAAACAUGCUACAAUGGCCGGUACAGAGGGCUGCAAAACCGCGAGGUUGAGCGAAUCCCACAAAGCCGGUCUCAGUUCGGAUUGGAGUCUGCAACUCGACUCCAUGAAGGCGGAGUCGCUAGUAAUCCCGGAUCAGCAACGCCGGGGUGAAUACGUUCCCGGGCCUUGUACACACCGCCCGUCACACCACGAAAGUCAGCAACACCCGAAGUCAGUUGCCUAACUCUUAGGAGAAGGAGCUGCCGAAGGUGGGGUCGGCGAUUGGGGUGAAGUCGUAACAAGGUAACC